UCCACUAUGGCACAGUGGUAAAACUGACCGUAACCGUCUAGAUGAUCGGAAGCGGGAGGUCGGGGGUUCGAUUCCCCCCGGUGGCA